rnacentral:piRNA from 1 species
CUCCGGAGUGCUCCCCAACAGUGA